rnacentral:rRNA from 1 species
CCACCUGACCCCAUGCCGAACUCAGAAGUGAAACGCCGUAGCGCCGAUGGUAGUGUGGGGUCUCCCCAUGUGAGAGUAGGGAACUGCUAGGU